rfam:Schistosoma mansoni, Puerto Rico, WGS project CABG01000000 data, contig: 0268
AUCCAGCUGACGAGUCCCAAAUAGAAUGAAACACGCGUCAAACUGGAU